rnacentral:rRNA from 1 species
UACGAAGGGGGCUAGCGUUGCUCGGAAUCACUGGGCGUAAAGCGCACGUAGGCGGAUUGUUAAGUCAGGGGUGAAAUCCUGGAGCUCAACUCCAGAACUGCCUUUGAUACUGGCGAUCUUGAGUCCGGGAGAGGUGAGUGGAACUGCGAGUGUAGUGGUGAAAUACGUAGAGAUUGGGAAGAACACCAGUGGCGAAGGCGGCUAUCUGGACGGUUUCUGACACUAAGACUCGAAAGCGUGGGGAGCAAACAGG